AAUAUUUGACAAUUGGGGCAACCCUGAUCCAGCCAUGCCGCGUGUGUGAAGAAGGUCUUCGGGUGUUAUAGCACUCUUUGGUGGGAGGAAGGGCUUUGUGUUAAUACCCUGAAGUUUUGACGUUACUAACAGAAUAAGCACCGGCUAACUCUGGUCCAGCAGCCGCGGUAACACUGAGGGUGCAAGGGUUAAUCGGAAUUACUGGGCGUAAAGCGCGCGUAGGUGGUUCAGUAAGAUGGGUGUGAAAUCCCCGGGCUUAACCUGGGAACUGCUUUCAUAACUGCUGAGCUAGGGUACGGUAGAGGGUAGUGGAAUUUCCUGUGUAGCGGUGAAAUGCGUAGAUAUAGGAAGGAACACCAGUGGCGAAGGCGACUACCUGGACUGAUACUGACACUGAGGUGCGAAAGCGUGGGGAGCAAACA
rnacentral:rRNA from 1 species